GGAGAGCCUGCAAAGCAGCCUGCUGGAGGCUGAGCAGCACAUAUGGGAGCUGGAGAUGGCCAGGAGCCCUGUGGAAGCCCAAGUGCACAGGGCCAGGCAGGCCAAGGAGGCGAUACUGGAGGAUGUGAGGGGCCUUCGUUGUGAGCUGCUGGCUGUAAGAGCUCUCAGCCAGCAGCAAUGUGAAGACAUGGCUGAACAGCUCCGCUGGGCACAAGAACAGUGCUGCAAGGCUCUGAGACUCUGGCAAUCUGCCCAGGAAGAGGAAAAAAGGAACCUCAUGCAAAAACUGGAGAGACAACUGGAAGAGCAGCAUGUGGAGGCACGGAAGCAGCUGGAGGAACGGGCAAACUUCCUGGCAGAGAUGCUGCAGGAAGAGCAGCGUCAGAAGAUUGCUGUCAUCCACAAGGUGUACCAGCUGCAGAGAGAGCUGAAGCAAAGUGAGCAGCUGAGGCAGAGGCUGAAUGAGCAGUGGCAGAAUGAGCAGGUCAUGCUGCAGGCUGAGCUGCAGGAAGCUGAGAGAAAGAUGAGGGCAAUGGAGAAGAGGCACCAAGAGGAAAUGGAAAGGAUGCACAAGGUCCUGCUGCAGUACAGGCUGGCUGAAGAAAAGCAGGUGGACGCAGGAUCUGCCAUCGAAGCUGCUGGUGCAGCAGCAUCCUGCCAAGAAGCCUCCUCUCCACAGCCUGAAAACCAGAGCAUGAGCAGCUCGGCCCACUCAAGCCAGGAGAGAGAGAAGCAGUUCCUGAAGCUGCUGAGGUGUGUGGUGAGUGUGGAAGAUCCAGAAAAGAAGUACACUGGAUGGGAACAUCUUGGCAGUGGGGGCUUUGGAGCUGUUUAUAAGGCCUUUGACACUGCCACAGGACAAGCGGUGGCUGUAAAGGAACUUUAUCUCCAGCACCAGGGCUGUGAGGGAAUAUUAAAAGAAAUCCUGCUCAUGAGAGAAAAUAAGAACGCCAAUAUUGUCAGCUACUUAGAAAGCUACCUUGUGGAUGAGGCUGUCCUGCUGGUGUUGGAAUAUAUGGAUGGAGGCUCCUUAGCUGAUGUGGUCACCGUGAGAAGGAUGGCUGUAGGACACAUAGCAACAGUGUGUCGGGAGGUCUCCACUCCAAAGGAUGGCAUGGCACCCAGCAUGGUGCUUGCUGGCUGCUGAGAGUGCAGGGAGCGCUGCACAAGCCCAGGCCACAGCUGGAAGGUGCUGAGUGGUCUAGAGAGCAACCAGGCAUCCAGAGUAACUUUGGUUUGUGGGUGUUCCUUCCAAAGGGAGAGAGUUACAGUGUAAACGUUCAGGGCAAUGAGGAAAAGCCAAGAUUUUGUGGGAAUCCUGGGCGGGUUGUUACCUGUACAAUUGCCCAUGUCCUUGGCUGCAGCCCUGAGGAAGGAGAGCCCAGCUGCUUUUCCAGCUCCAUUAAGCACUGCAUUCUGGGACUGAGAGUGAGAAGCCCUUUUCCUUGGUUUCCUACUUGAAGCAGUGUUUGUUUUCCUCCUCAGCUGAUUUUGGCCUCUGUGCUGUGCUCAGCCCUGAGCACAGGAAACGGAGGUCGAUGGUCGGGACCACUUACUGGAUGGCACCCGAGGUGGUGAGAAGAGAGCCUUACGGCCCCAAAGUGGACACCUGGUCCCUUGGGAUUGUGGGGAUAGAAAUGGCCACAGGAGAGGCUCCUUAUAUGCAGGAGACCAGUGACAAGGCCAGCUACCUGAUAGGCAAGCAAGGGGUUCCAAAUCUGCAGCAGCUCAGCCUACCCCCUGGCUUGUGUGAAUUUCUGGGCUGCUGCCUGCAGAUGGAUGUGGACAGGCGAGGCUCUGCCAAGGAACUUCUGCAGCAUCCAUUUCUGCAAUCAGCGGAGCCUCUCUUAAGCCUCUUCUGACAGCCUGAUUGCUGCCAUCCCUGCAGCAAGGGAAUGCAAGAAGCAAAGGAGAUGACAAGGUGUGAGAGUCUGUCCGAAACUUCCCUCAUUUUUUGCCUCUCGAUCGUCAUGAAAGCCAAGACCACCGGGGAAAGGGAAAGAUCCUGUUCUGAAAAUCCAGGUCUGUCUGGUCCACCAAGCCAGAUUAUUGCCUACGGGUGUGUUUGUUCAACUCAUGGAACACUGCACCCAAGAAGGGGCAGUGUGCUCUCCUUCGCCUGCAUCACCUAGCAACGCUAGUGCUGGAAUUUCUCCACCCUUCUGACUUGGCUGGACUUUCUCUCUGGAAUGACCUUCCCGGAGGUCGCCACAAAAGGACCCUCCACUCACCGUACAUCAACCACCGUGGCAGAUGGACUGAGAUGGGAGAGGGCUCUCCCCUCAAGGACUGGGACAUGCAACCUCUACAUGGAAAAGCUCCCCUCUUCUCCCUAAAAUGACUGAGACUGAAAUCCCCACCGUAGGGUGAGGGAAGGUGUGCGUGGGGACCGGAGCAAGUUUUGCAAGCGACCACUGGACCGAGAAGAUAAUGGUUCCUGCCUACGACAUCUGCUGCUGACGACGCCUGUUCCUGAUGGACUACUGAUGGACUCCUUGUACCCUUUAUCAAUAGACUAUUUUGAAAUGGGUCCCCUUCCCCCAUUUCAAAAGGACUAUAAAAAAGGUUAGACCUGACUGAUACCUUUGAGAUCUCCCCUGACGUGAAGACGACAGGCGUCUUCGUCAACCGGACUUCGAGGGACUUUGUCAUCUGCACGUCUGGUAGCUAUAUACCUCCUUGCCCUCCCUCUCUUCUUUUUCUUUUCCUUACUCUUUUCCCUUUCUUCAUUCCCCUUCUCUCUAACGCAUCUUUGCUAUGGCUAUUUAAUAAAAGUACAUGUAUUUUGAUUUUACUGCAAAUCCCCUUGUCGUGUCAGUUUUUGCACCCUGACAUCAGUGAAAAAGAGCCUCCAUGAAUCACGUCCUUAGGACGGAUCGUGUCA